CAAAACAAAAGGGACGUUAAUUCUUCCCUGCUUGUGGGCAUGACUGUUACUGGAUUCAAAAACCUCCUGAGGAACUUCAACAUAUACAAUUCCAUGGGACCCAAACAGAUGCAUCUUGGGGGCCUGAGGGAACUGGCUGAUGUAGUUAACUCACCCAUUCUCCGUCAUAUUUCAAAAAGUUGUGACUCUCAAGCAAAUUCUCCAGUGACUAGGAUUUGUACCCAUUACUCCUUGUCCUGUCACUGCAGUUCCUGAAGAAGGAUCCCUCUCUGGCUUCCCUGUAGAUCUCCUUCAUAUACUGGAAGGUUUCUAUGAAGUCUCUGCACAACCUCCUCUUCUCCAGGCUAAACAGUCCCAGCUUUCUCAGCCUUUCGUCAUAGGAGAGGCAUUCUGGAGUCCAUUGUUGCCUGAAAUGCUGUGACUACAGGACUAGCAGAAUGAAGCUCAGGUUAUUCAUAAGGAUCAGCCAAAGAGUACAAGAGUGAUGCUAUUGUGAUUAAACUAAAAACAAGUCAAAAAGUGUGAAAAGGUUGUAUGGAAACCAGUAGCAAUUUUUUGAGGUUUACAGAUAAUUUCUCUGGUAUUUGCUAACUAUAGUGAGGUUGGAGAUAUAGCUGCUCUUUGUAAAGCUGAAAUUUUAAGAUGAAACAAUAAGAUCCAGUUUUUUCUGGGAAAAUAAUAAAGAAGACAAGGACAUCCCAGCAGAUUAAAUAAAGCAGCUAUGAUACACAUCCUGUGGCAAGAGAGAGCGAAUUCAGCAUGAAGACUCUUGUAUUUCUUACAUUCUCUCAAGGAGAUCUAUUCCUUUCUGGAAAGAGUGUGGUGCUACUGCUGGAGCAUGCAGUGCCAUGGCAUUGGAGUUUUUUUGGAGAUCCUUGGAGUAGCAGCACAAAAAUUAUGUACAUAGGUAAUGCUACUUCUGUGCCAGUAGUGCUUUUUUAUACAGCUAAACCUCCUGACAUGUAACAUAAGAGAGCACAAAAAGGUACAGAGUGAAACUACAAGCCAUUUCUAAUUCGUGUUGUUAUCAUAAAGACAGAAUAUUUGACAGGAAAGGAGCCAGCUGAAACUACUCAGCGCCCAUGAGCAUCACUAUUUAUUAAGCUAACACUUUUCUCAUUCACUGCCAUGUAUAAAAAAAAAUGCAUAUAUUAAUGUCAAAAAAAACAUUCCAUCUGUUAUCGGGGAUUUUUUUGCAAGUAUUUGAAUGCCUGUGGCAUUGCAAAAAUGUAUUAUGUUUUAUAAAUACGAUUAUUGUUUCAUGCAGAGGACAGUGGAAAGGCUACCAUUUUGCUUGAGGCUACCAAAUACUGCUUUCUGUGUUAUAAUUCACAGCAUUUUGAAGUAAUGAUGACAUUUAGCUUUGGAAUAUAUUUUCCUUUAGGUGACCAGAAUUUUUAUGGUGUGCUUGGCAGAUGCUACUAUAAGAAAAGCAAAAGCAAUGAUCACCUUGUGAUUUAUUUUUGCUACAGGUGAACCCUGUAAUUUAGCUCUUGUCAGCAUGCAAAUUAAUGUUGUCUUAUGCUGUUUACCUCACUUUGAUAGCACUAAUGUGAUUGCUUAUGCACCUUCUGUUUCAUGGACUUGAAGUGCUCAUUUGAGGCUCAUCAGCAAUAAGCUAUCUUUGGUGACAGCAACUGUAAAUGCACUCUGGGGAAACGGAUUUAAGAAACUAGAGCUUUUCAAGGUAAAGGUUUUGUGGUGUUUCAUUCCAAUCCUCUGUGAAUUCAUCAGAAUCCUAUUUAAAGACUACUCUGUGCAAAAUUUGUGGGCUGCUACCUCUCAAGUUAAUGCUCAUAUUGCUGCAAACAAAUAUGGCCUUGGGAAGAGUGAAACAAAAUAUUUGCCAGGGAUUCAACAUCUAGCAAAAAAAGCCCCAAGCCUGUGCUAGAGAAGCUCAUUUAGAGAGCAACAAAAAUAUCCAUCACUUUGCACUAUGAAAUCCAUUACAUUUAAAAUUGUGUUUAAAAAUUCAAUUUUGGAUAUUGUUAAGGUUUUCUUACUGAAAGGCAAUGAGCUUCUCUCAA